UGUCAAUUUUUAAGCCUACAAAAAUCGAUAACAUCGAUUAUUUUACAAUAAUCGACAAUCAACUCUCGACUAUCAUUGGCUUUGCAUUUUUCAUCCCUACUCUUUUCUGUACUUUUCGGCUGAUCGCCACGCUCGUUCCGGUAUUGCGCGUUUUUUUGUGUUUAGUUCCUAGAAAAUUCUACAAGAAGAGAUGGAUGAAAAAAGUUUGGAGUUUUUGGAAAAUGUGGAUCCCGAGAACGCGGAAUUUUUGAUUGUUCUUUUUAAAGGCAACGUACUACGUAGCAAGGCAGCCGAAAACUAAUUUGGAAGGCGCGAAGCAGCCAGGGGUAAAUUAAAUCGAAAGAGUCCGAACAGACAACAACUGUUCAUGACGAUGGAGUAAAGAGAGAUGAACAGGGUGAAGUGAAGGAAGACCUGGAGUGGUUAAGACGAUGGCUCGAACCCGAGGUUGCGGCUACUGAGCGGUGGAGUAGGA